AUUAAACAAUUUUAAAUUUACAAAAUAAACCCAAAAAAAUCCAAGAAUUGCAGGGAAGGCCUUCUGGAACUGUAGGAAUAGUGGUGGCGCGUGGAUUCAUAAGCAAAGCAAUAAUGAACCGAAAACAUAAAAAAGACAGAAGACAUGGUGUCUGUGGCUGAAGAGGGAGACCGUGCGUCUGUGGAGACGGGCAACGGUUCUGCCCAUUCUCUAGUCGAUGGAGAUGAGGCUGUUCUGUGGUGUUGCUUGUGGUCAGUUGAUCGAGGGAGAGAG